rnacentral:rRNA from 1 species
CGUGUAGGCGGCUUGUUAAGUCGGACGUGAAAUCCCUUGGCUCAACCAAGGAACUGCGUCCGAUACUGACUAGCUAGAGUAUCGGAGGGGAUGGCGGAAUUCCCGGUGUAGAGGUGAAAUUCGUAGAUAUCGGGAGGAACACCUGUGGCGAAGGCGGCCAUCUGGAAGAUUACUGACGCUGAGACGCGAAAGCGUGGGGAGCAAACAGGAUUAGAUACCCUGGUAGUCC